CACCAGGUUGAUUCUGCCUGACGUAGACGCUAUACUCUAAGAUUAACCCAUGCAUGUUAUUGAAUAUAAAGAAAAGACGAACAGCUCAGUAACUCUUAUUUUAUUUGAUGUAUUAGGACUAUACUAUGUUAAAUUAUAGAUAACAAUAAUACAAUAAGAAUAAGAUCUAUCAGUUAGUUGUUAAGGUAAUGGCUUAACAAGACUAUGACGGAUAACGGUAUUACUUUGUAAUAUUCCGGAGAAGGAGCCUGAGAGAUUGCUACUAAGUCUAAGGAUUGCAGCAGGGGCGAAACUUGACCUAUGAUAUGAUAUUGAGGCAGUUAUGAGUAGUAUUUUUUAAUUAUUGUAGUAUUGUAAGUAUAUACUACAAGAUAAAUCGGAGGGCAAAUCGAGUGCCAGCAGCCGCGG
rnacentral:rRNA from 1 species